ACAUCCAGCGAACUUGGCAGAGAUGCCUUGGUGCCUUCGGGAACGCUGAGACAGGUGCUGCAUGGCUGUCGUCAGCUCGUGUUGUGAAAUGUUGGGUUAAGUCCCGCAACGAGCGCAACCCUUUAUCCUUUGUUGCCAGCGAUUCGGUCGGGAACUCAAAGGAGACUGCCGGUGAUAAACCGGAGGAAGGUGGGGAUGACGUCAAGUCAUCAUGGCCCUUACGAGUAGGGCUACACACGUGCUACAAUGGCGCAUACAAAGAGAAGCGACCUCGCGAGAGCAAGCGGACCUCAUAAAGUGCGUCGUAGUCCGGAUCGGAGUCUGCAACUCGACUCCGUGAAGUCGGAAUCGCUAGUAAUCGUGGAUCAGAAUGCCACGGUGAAUACGUUCCCGGGCCUUGUACACACCGCCCGUCACACCAUGGGAGUGGGUUGCAAAAGAAGUAGGUAGCUUAACCUCCGGGAGGGCGCUUACCACUUUGUGAUUCAUGACUGGGGUGAAGUCGUAACAAGGUAGGCGUAGCGAG
rnacentral:rRNA from 1 species